rnacentral:lncRNA from 15 species
GUGGCCGCACCAGAUUGGGAUUGGCCCUGAUGAUCACAAGGACCCCCCUCCACCUCUUUUCAGCCAAUCCUGGAGGGGCUGCAGAGCUGAUGUCUCAGAGGGCGAGAGGGUAUUUGUGUUCUGGAGUCCUGAAGAGACAAGCCACAUCACGAUAAAUGGAGGAGAAGGAGCGAUGUAGGAGCAGGUCUCCAGCUCGGGGGGCCAGUCGGGUGCAGCAAGUGGUGGGAACAAUAAUACGUCGCACACGAGAGUCACUUAGCAGAGAGCGGUUGCUAGGCGAUGGGAGGUCGCAACGCUCCAACAGUCUGUCCAAUCAGAACUUCCAGGCCAAGCUGACACUGCAGAUCACCAGGGACCCGGUCCUGGACAGCAGCACUGGACAUGGCUUCACCCUCACCACAAACGCACCCCUGCUGGUCAGGGACGUCGCCCCAGGGAGUCCUGCAGAUGGGAUACUUUACCCAGGGGACCAGGUGCUGCAGAUUAAUGAUACAGUGAUGGAGGAUUUGAGCGACGAGCAGGUGGAAAACAUCUUAAGGGACUUGGAGGAUUGUAUCACUGUGACUAUCCUGCGGCACAUGACAGUGAGUACAAAUAAGACAUUGAUGAACCCCUCCUCAACAUAACAAAAACACACACAAUCACAAGUCAUUACACCAUCCUUCAUUUAAAUAUAAUCUCACUGUGUGUUUCCAACCAUGUGACUGUAACCUUGCAACUUCUG